AGGUCUUCAGGAUCACCACACACUUCAGACAGGUGUGUGGACAGACUGGAGAUAAACUCAGCAGGAAGCUGGUCCUCCAGGACAUCACUGUUUUUGUGUCAGAUGCAGAUAAAGAGUCACUAGGAACAGGUCACUGCAUCUUUUGUCAUGUAGAUGCUGGAAUAAAAAGCAGCCAUGCUACAGCAUCUAAAAUGGAGACUUCUAUUAACGUGGCUCUGUAACAUAAGAGACUUGAGACGGUGGAAGGAGCAGAAGAUCAGAGAUCAGGCAGAGCUCUACUGGUGCCCCUUAGGGGAUUGAUUAAUCUAUAAUUAUCCAUAAUAUCUACUUAAUGUUCUAAUGAAGUUAUAAUUGGUCAUUAUUCUGUUUUAUAAAUCUAUUCAAUAUAUUCUAGUGUUCAAAAGUUUGGGGUCAGAAAGUUUUUUUUUC